GACGAUCAGUAGCCGACCUGAGAGGGUGAUCGGCCACAUUGGAACUGAGACACGGUCCAAACUCCUACGGGAGGCAGCAGUGGGGAAUAUUGCACAAUGGGCGAAAGCCUGAUGCAGCAACGCCGCGCGAGUGAUGAAGGCUUUCGGGUCGUAAAACUCUGUCCUCAAGGAAGAUAAUGACGGUACUUGAGGAGGAAGCCCCGGCUAA
rnacentral:rRNA from 1 species